rnacentral:misc_RNA from 1 species
AACACUGUUAACCUGCGGUACCUGCGGAAGGAUCAUUACAGUAUUCUUUUGCCAGCGCUUAACUGCGCGGCGAAAAACCUUACACACAGUGUCUUUUUGAUACAGAACUCUUGCUUUGGUUUGGCCUAGAGAUAGGUUGGGCCAGAGGUUUAACAAAACACAAUUUAAUUAUUUUUACAGUUAGUCAAAUUUUGAAUUAAUCUUCAAAACUUUCAGCAACGGAUCUCAGAUCGGAAGAGC